rnacentral:rRNA from 1 species
UGAGGAAUAUUGGUCAAUGGGCGGAAGCCUGAACCAGCCAUGCCGCGUGCAGGACGACGGCCCUACGGGUUGUAAACUGCUUUUCCGGGGGAAGAAUAACCCCCCUGCGGGGGGGGGAUGCCGGUACCCCGGGAAUAAGGAUCGGCUAACUCCGUGCCAGCAGCCGCGGUAAUACGGAGGGUGCGAGCGUUAAUCGGAAUUACUGGGCGUAAAGCGUGCGCAGGCGGUUUUGUAAGACAGAUGUGAAAUCCCCGGGCUUAACCUGGGAACUGCGUUUGUGACUGCAAGGCUGGAGUACGGCAGAGGGGGGUGGAAUUCCACGUGUAGCAGUGAAAUGCGUAGAGAUGUGGAGGAACACCGAUGGCGAAGGCAGCCCCCUGGGCCUGUACUGACGCUCAUGCACGAAAGCGUGGGGAGCAAACA